CUAGUCUUUAAUAUAGAUCUUCGCGAAAAGGAUUCUUGGAAUGGAAAACCGAAGGACCAUUGUGAAGCUACCUCAUUUGAUAACGGAACUUACAGGGAUUCCAAUUGCGACCUUACUGCCAUUUUAAUAGUUGUACCUUUUCCAUAAAACAUGAGAUGAAAGCAUAAACAGAGACAAUUUUAUUUAUCUUAAUGGAAUUAUCACCGUUUUCAUCAAUAGGAAAAUAAUGUAUGGGGUUAUUAAAGAAUAGAAAAUAGGAGCAAGAGUGUAACUUAAAAAAAAUGUAACUUUAUUCUUGCAAUAACACAUAGUAAUGAAUUAGAAAAAAAAAGUGUAAAAGUAGUAUGAUUAUCUUUAACAAGAUUUAUAAAAUGUUUUUCCACCAUUGUUUAUUGAACACAGAUUCACAAAUAAUAUGUGCUAGAAAAAACAUAUAUAAAUCUAAAAAUAACAUUGCAGGAGCCAGAAUGGAUUAGAGAUCUCUUUUAAGAGCAAAUGUUUGUCAUUAGCAUUAUUUUUAAAGUAAUGUAUAACCUGAUACUUAGAUAUUAUUAAAGCUGAUCAUUACCUAAAUACUGUAGUAGUGAUUGUGUUUUUGUAAGUAAAGGCUUCCAUGGUAUCUAAUGUGCUAUAUGGAGAUUAUAUAUAGGCACAUACCCCUCACUGAGUUGCACAUGGACAUUUCCACACAUUUCAGUGGACAGUAACAUUUGAGAUUGCACACAGAAUUAUAUUUGCAAAGCUAAAAGAUGUUUGUUGUGCUAUUUUUAGGAAAGAGAGAGGAUAUUUUAUGUGAAUACCUAAUUGUUAUUUACAAAAAAAUAUGUGCGUACAAAGGGAAAUAUCCACUGAUGUAUUGUGUAUUUGCACAUCAUGUGCUAAACAUCCAACUGUGAUCAACUGAUAAAUCAUAUUGCAAUGCACUUUAUCCUUAACAUAUUUUAUUCUUUGAUAAAAGAUAAAAGCUCACAUCUACUGUAACCGCGGCUGGUUCCCUUAUUUACCACUAUAAUGUCUUAAAGCAUAAAACUUAGUAGGGCUAACCAUACAGAUAUCUUAGCCAUAAUUUUAUAUAGUUAGUGUAAGAGAUCCUCUAUUUAAAAUACAUAAAUAAUUGAGAAUACAAUAAAAAUAGGAGUUGGAAGCAAUAACUUUUGUCUUAUUAAUAUAGUGUAUUGAAUAUAAAUGAAAACAGAUAUAUAAACUUAAUAAUCCAUUAAUAUAUCAUAAAGCAGAGUAUACACAAUUAAAUGAAUAAAUGCUUGCAAUAUAAAGUAUUAGUAUAACAUACCCUCCUGAUUAUUUCAGUAUGUCACCUCCAGAAUCAGUCAGUAAGUCUCUACCUAGCAUUGAUCAUGCAUGUAAAUAUAGUAUAGCAUUUCUAAUUACUACUGGUAAUGUAUGGGUUAAUUCAUCUUAGGGUUAAAAACAGUUCAUAUAUAAAAAUAAAAGAAAAACACCCUUAUCAGUCUAAUGCCAUAACCUAGACAUCUUUAAUCUGUAUUUGGACUAGAAGUUAGGUUGACAUACACCUUAGGGUUAAAAACAGUUCAUAUAUAAAAAUAAAAGAAAAACAUACUUAUCAGCCUAAUGUCAUAACCCAGACAUCUUUAAUCUUUAUUUGGACUAGACGUUAGGAUGACAUAGGCAAAGCCUUGAAUUGUUAUUGCAUUAAUCUAAGACAAGAUGGAGUAAACAUGUUGUGUACUGUAAAUAGGUAAAAUGUUAUUAGUUAAAGAAACAGUUGCAGUUUAAAGAAAUACAAUUUAGCAAUGUGUAUUAUACCUACAAUUGCCCAUCACACUACCAUUAUUGGUGAAAAAGUUGUGAUCCGCAAAAGCUUUCACCCGACUAUACAGUUGGGUGAAAGCUUUCACGGACUGGCAAUAAAUUGCCACAAAAUAUUUCCCCGGUGCUAUGAUCCGCCGGGUUUUCCUCUCGCAAGCUCGGAGCAUUGCCGCGAUUACUGUGGCAACGCUCCAAAUCUCACAAGAGUGAUCUCUAACCUGAGCUGCUAGAGUUCACUCCUUACCACUUGGACCACCAGGCCUUCCCCACAGACCACAAAGCAAAGGUAAGCAGGGAAGGGAGACAUGAAAAUUAUUAUUUUCAUUAAUUACAUUUUCUUUAUAAUUUAUUAAUCCACCCUCCAACCCCACAGACCCACAAUAAUUCAACCCCAUACACACACACU